rnacentral:rRNA from 1 species
UACGGAGGGUGCGAGCGUUAUCCGGAUUCACUGGGUUUAAAGGGUGCGUAGGUGGGCAGGUAAGUCAGUGGUGAAAUCUCCGGGCUUAACCCGGAAACUGCCAUUGAUACUAUCAGUCUUGAAUACCGUGGAGGUAAGCGGAAUAUGUCAUGUAGCGGUGAAAUGCUUAGAUAUGACAUAGAACACCAAUUGCGAAGGCAGCUUACUACCCGAAUAUUGACACUGAGGCACGAAAGCGUGGGGAUCAAACAGG